rnacentral:tRNA from 1 species
AAAAAGAUAAGCUAAUUAAGCUAUUAGGUUCAUACCCUAAUUAUAAAGAUUUUACUCCUUUUCUUUUUA